GACGAACGCUGGCGGCGUGCUUAACACAUGCAAGUCGAACGGAAAGGCCCUGCUUGCAGGGUACUCGAGUGGCGAACGGGUGAGUAACACGUGGGUGAUCUGCCCUGCACUUCGGGAUAAGCCUGGGAAACUGGGUCUAAUACCGGAUAGGAGCCAUUUUUAGUGUGAUGGUUGGAAAGUUUUUUCGGUGUAGGAUGAGCUCGCGGCCUAUCAGCUUGUUGGUGGGGUAAUGGCCUACCAAGGCGGCGACGGGUAGCCGGCCUGAGAGGGUGGACGGCCACAUUGGGACUGAGAUACGGCCCAGACUCCUACGGGAGGCAGCGGUGGGGAAUAUUGCACAAUGGGCGCAAGCCUGAUGCAGCGACGCCGCGUGGGGGAUGACGGCCUUCGGGUUGUAAACUCCUUUCGCUAGGGACGAAGCUUUUUGUGUCGGUACCUAGAUAAGAAGCACCGGCUAACUACGUG
rnacentral:rRNA from 1 species